ensembl:lncRNA
AGAGGGGGGUGGCAGGGAGUUUAAAAGGAUCAGUCUGUGAGAUAGACACGCUUGUGGCAACUAAAUUUGUCAGUUGGAGUUUUCAGUAACUUCCAUUCUGGAUCCACAGCACCGAUAAUAAUGAUGUUCUGCAGAGCGGCUUGGCAAAGACUUGCGCCUCUGGCACGCAAAACGCUCACUCCUUUCAGCAAUGCUGUAUUUCCUACACGACAGAUGUCUUUUGGUCUACCGGCGUCUGGCACAAACAUAGCUUACGUGGUACUUGGUGGAAGCUCACUUACUGCUGCUCUUGUUUAUGCUUAUAAGACAAUAAACUCUGACAGUGCAAGAUAUAAUGAAAGAAUUGCUCAAUUCGAGGCCAGACCUAAAAGUAAGGUAGGAGCAGUUGCUGAGGUAGCCUCGGUAGCAGAAGCAGAAACCACAGCAGCUGAGGUGAUUAAUGCAGAGGCUGAACAGACCCCAGAACCUGUGGAGGCAGCAACUGCGAUAGUAGAAGCAGUAGCAGCUGAUGCUGAGGAACCUACUGCACCUGUUGCUGAGGAUGUCACUGCUGAGGCUGCUGCUCCCAUUGCUGAAACAACCGUUAUCCCAAUGUCUGACCUACUGAGCACUGUGAAAAUCCUGGCUGGAUCUACAGCAGAGAUUGCAGCUGCUUCGGUCGGUGAUCAGCAUCUGGUGGCCACAGUGAGAUUGGCUGAGGAAAAUAAUUCUAUGGAGACCCUCAAUGGGCUGGAGGUUGCUGAUGUUAAAGCAGAGGUCCCAGCAGAAGUGCCUGAGCGAGCUGUGGUUGAGGAAGCUAUGAGAGGUAGACUGAAUCUGAAAACAGAAGUAAAAGAACUGGAGGAACUGCCAUCAUCACUUCAUGCAGUAGAAGAAAAUAUUGUUGUGGAAGAUGACCAUGUCAAGUCUGAGGCAGACAGCCCUGCUGUGCCUGAAAGCCUUGCUUCAUCAGAGGAGGCCCUUGUUACAGAGAUGGAGAACAUUUUGGAAUUAGAAGACUCAACAAGCCCUGUGGUGAUGCUCUCAGAAGAUGACACCGUCUCUGGAGCUGUAGAGCUGACAUCAGAAACAGUUGAGGAAGUAGGUCAGAAAAUGGAAGAAUCAACUGCCACAGAAACAGCACAUGCAGAUCUCGCAGCACCACCAGCAGACCUAGAGGACUCAUUACAGGCUACAGGUGCAACAGAGGCUGCAGAAGUUCUUCUCAUGGAAAUGGUGCAGGAUGCUGUGGAGAAAGCUAAACCUGUUGAGGCAUCAGAUGAAGCUGUUGAAAGUGGAAAUGUUGCAAUGACCAUGACACAAGCCUGAAGUGAUUGUACCACACCUGAGACACUGGAAACGAGUGAAACUAGACAAUCUGUGAUGUAAUGAUUACUGAGGAUAACAUAUGGUAGUGCUGUUACAGUCAUAAAAAAGACAUCUAAAUGACUUUUUAUUUCCAACUGAAUCGCAAAUUUGGUAAAUGACUAGGGUCUCCUUAAUUUUGUUAUUUCAUCUGAAAAUGAGAUUUAGUCAGUUAAAACAGAUUUGAGUUUAAUUGAUCUAAUUUUGUGUCUCUGGAAAACAGUGAUCUGUGACACUGUAUUAUGCUGAAUAUCAAAGGUUUUGUGGGCACAUUCAUGUUGUUAGAUUGCUUUUUAUUUUAACGUGAAAAGAUCAAAUUAGAAUUAAGGCAGAAGGUCCCAACUGGCAUGUUGUUGCUAGUGCUUAUUGUAAUUCAUUAGGUUAUUAUUCAGUUAUUCCGUUAUACACAAAAUAUUGUAAACAUGCAUUGCAAUAAGAUAUUUUGCUUUUAAAUGUGUAAUCAAAAUGGAAGGAAAUUGUAUAUGAAAUGUGAAUUAAUCACAUCGAUCUUAAAUGUAUUUAUAUUUAUUUAUUUUUAAUGUAUAGGUGUACAUUUUAGAAAUCUUUAUAUAUAUAUAUAUAAGUGAACUGAUUUUAAUUUAACUUGAAUUAAAUUUAAAUUCAUAGUGUUGCUAUUAUGAUGUACAUUAAAUUAAUAUAUGGUCAAUUAGAUAUGUAAGUUGUAGCAUAAAUUUACCUUUCAUAACCUUUCAUAAUUAUCUCACUGGGAUUUUAUCUGUAAUUGAUAAAUUAUUUAGUUGAUCUGUCAAAGCACAAUUUUAAAUAGUAUUUUAUAAUUACACACACACACAGAGAGAAAGAGAUUGUUAUGCUUGAGUUAAUUUAUUAUGUGAUUGUGCGUUCUGAAUGAGAACAUGAUUAAACUAUUGAGUAUUGCAGAGAACAUAGAACAAAACUGAAAUGUGUGUUUAAAAAAAAGUUAAUUAUUUUAAAUGCAUCUUUGUUUCAAGAACUGCAUGAACUGUUUUGGAAAUUAGACCAACUGAAUUUGUUUUUUAUAGUGUUAACACUAUAAAAACACUGUGUUAUAGUGUCUGAAAUGAAUCUCUACUAUGUGCUCUCACUACUUCUUGGCAACGCAUAAUACUUGUGAAGUCAUUAUUUACAGAAAGAGUGUAUUUACAUUAAACUCAUUCAAUAUCUGAUUUUCAAAAUUGUCUCUUACUAAUUCACAAGCAGUCCGGACACAACAAGUAGCCAAAAUACAAGUAGUCAGAACAUUCAUUCUAGACUUGUAGUAUUAUAUAUAUAUUGUUGUUGUUUGUUUGUAAAUAUCCAUAUAAUUUAGUUAUUUUAUUUUAACAUUAGUUAAUAAAUUAACAAACAAGCUUAGUGUUAUGCA